CUUGUCUCAAAAAAAUAAAAAUAAAAAGGCCAGAACAUUAUGAGUCCAGGUGUACAGCUCACUGAGGUCCCAGCUUUAUUCAGGGCUAUCCGGGAUAACACUUACACCACCUAGAGCAAUAAUAAAGGAUUUGCUUUGAUUGGACUAUUGGAGUGUGCCCAGACAUUGUAUUUUGGGUAUUUACAUAUGUAUCUUCAUAUCUUCUGUGUAAGCCCUAUUUAUUAUCUCUUUAAACUGAGUUUUUAACAACGACUGUGAGAUGGAACAUUCAAGGUUAUAAAGGUCAUAUAUUCUGUCAAGAAUUUGGGGAACAAAUAUUCAGUAUUGCUGAAAUUUUUCUAAUGCUGACCCCAAUAGCCUUUUAUGAAAAUUAAUGUUUUACCAGAACAGAACAUGCGUCAGAAAAUGCUUAGAGGAGCAAAGGCAAAUAAAACAAUCCUUCAGCACACUGGAUUUCUGAACCACUGCCCCAUUCUCACCAUUAUCCCAGAUGCUGCCCUGGAAGCCUCACUGUCAUUACUCCACUUAGAAUAUGAGAAAGAUCUCGACACUAACACCAGCUUCUUCAGCAGAUUGAUGACGUGGCUGCUAACAGGCUCUUCUCUUGGAGGUUUUCAAUUUCAGCCAGAGUAAGAAGAGCUGGAUAAGGACUUACAAAUUCAGUUCCUUCUUCUUUCCAUGUUCACUUGCACAUGAUGAUUUUAUUAAAGUGAUAUAGCAUUUUUAUUUGCCAUGAAAUCUUCAUUCCACAAUUUAAAUGGGCUUCUGAUGGCUUUACCUGUUAGGUGAACUUUUAGGAACUUUCAUGACCCAUGGUCUAAACUAGAAAUGUUCGCCCUCUACUCUAGCUUAAAAAUUGUAUUUUAAAGACAGCACUAGGCUCUUCAUGUGAAAAUAAAGACAAUAUUGUAAAA